CAGCCGCCGCGGUAAUACGGAGGGAGCUAGCGUUGUUCGGAAUUACUGGGCGUAAAGCGCGCGUAGGCGGUUACUCAAGUCAGAGGUGAAAGCCCGGGGCUCAACCCCGGAACUGCCUUUGAAACUAGGUGACUAGAGUCUUGGAGAGGUCAGUGGAAUUCCGAGUGUAGAGGUGAAAUUCGUAGAUAUUCGGAAGAACACCAGUGGCGAAGGCGACUGACUGGACAAGUAUUGACGCUGAGGUGCGAAAGCGUGGGGAGCAAACAGGAUUAGAUACCCCUGUAGUCCCUGUCUCUUAUAC
rnacentral:rRNA from 1 species